ensembl:lncRNA
GGGGAGGCAUGUAGCCUAGUGGUUAGAGGGGGAGGCAGGUAGCUUAGUGGUUAGAUGGGGGAGGCAGGUAGCCUAGUGGUUAGAGGGGGAGGCAGGUAGCUUAGUGGUUAGAUGGGGGAGGCAGGUAGCUUAGUGGUUAGAUGGGGAGGCAGGUAGCCUAGUGGUUAGAUGGGGGAGGCAGGUAGCUUAGUGGUUAGAGGGGGAGGCAGGUAGCUUAGUGGUUAGAUGGGGGAGGCAGGUAGCCUAGUGGUUAGAGGGGAGGCAGGUAGCCUAGUGGUUAGAGGGGAGGCAGGUAGCCUAGUGGUUAGAGGGGAGGCAGGUAGCUUAGUGGUUAGAGGGGAGGCAGGUAGCCUAGUGGUUAAAGCAUUGGACUGACCGAAAGGUUGCAGUUUCGAAUCCCAGAGCUGACAAGGUAAAAAUCUGUCGUUCUGCCC